GUCAAGUACAAAACGUGGAGUAAUGGUGAGCAAACACCAAACAAAGAUGAGAAAAUAUUUUUCAUCCCUAGAAUUGAAGACACUUUUCUUCAGGAUUCUAUUUGAAUGCCACUAGCCUUAAUUAUAUAUCAUUAAAAAUGAGCUCUGGGCACUUAGUAUUUGGAGAGUACAUGAUCUUUUACACAGGAAAUUUGUUUUGUCUGGAAAAUUACACAAGCUUCUAUCACCUUGACACUUUCUAAAACUUCCUCUUCUGCAGUUUAAUGUGGAGAGCCGUGCAGUGAGCAAUCGCCAUUAUAAGAUGGCGCUGGCUCCCUAACAAGCCUUAUGCGCAAGUGCAAGAGUGAAUUCACGCCCAGUCACUGCUCAUCUCGGGGCGUAGUAAUGGGGUAAUGGGCGAGCAACUAAUCAGAUGAUGCUGUCAAGCCACAUCAGGUGCUGAAACAUCACGCUGCGGGCUAUAUAAGCAGCGCCAUUUUCUGGGUUCCGGGUCUUCCUGAGAAGUAAGCAAUAAAAGCUUUGCCAUAGAAGGAUCCGAUUGUCCGGCGAGAUACCAGCUCGGGCGAGAGUUUAACUCUAUUUAAUUCAGUCAAAUUGAAAACAUCACAUCUUUAGUAGACUUACAUCUAUUAAUCCUUUGCCUAGGUUUGGAGGCCUACCACACAGAUAAUGUUUUCCUCAUCAUAAAGAUCUCAGCAGAUUUAGGAAUCCCAUAUCUUUUCAGACAUCACUAAUUUGCAUAAAACUUUCUACCUCAAUAGAAGUGAUCUAAAAGUGACAAAAGGAAAGCUGUGUGGGUCCUGUCAGACUAUAUAUCUUCCCUGUGCAUCUCAGUUAGGAAGGUGACACUUGACUGUUCCAAUGUCCCUGCUGUGGUUCUGUUUCUCAUUUCUUAAAUCAUGCUGCUCCUUAGGCCUCUACAAAAUGCUAAGUGGCUUUCAGUCUUCCUUUACUUAAGUUUGCAUAUUGUAGCCAACUAUUUUCAAUAUCCGGUACAAUUUAUUAACAAUUUAUUGGAUAUAUAUAUAUAUACUUGAACUCUGACUUUCAGGUGCAUACCCCUCACUCCCCAACACACAAUUCAAAUCCUAAUUUACCUUCUUAUCUAUCUUUGUGCUCAUUUUAUUUUUAUAUAGCCAAGCUGUUUCAUCUGUGAAAUGGGGCAAAUAAAGUCACCUAAUCUGCAGGGUUGUUAAGAGUGAAACUACUGAAUUCUAAAAAGUUAGCUUUCGGACCUAUUGCUACUACUUCUUGUGAUGCAUCCUUUCUCAAUGGUUCUCUUACUCAGCCCUAAGGUGCUUUGAACUCUCAGUUCCUGUAUGAUUGCUGCAUCCUUUGUCUUCUUUGCUAGGCUAAUUCAUAAUUGACUCUCAGGGCUCAGACUCUGACCUCUGCCAAGAAUCAUUUCAUGACCCUGUGCACUGCAGGUUAUGUGCUGAGUUAGCCUUUUUUGUAACAGUUCACACUUUAUAUUUAAUUGCUGGCCUCUCUCUCUCUCUCUCUCUCUCUCUCUCUCUCUCUCUCUCUCUCUCUCCUUCCUCUCACUCUCACUAUGCAUACACCUUGAGGGGAGAAACUCUCCUACGACUAGAUCAGAAUAAAUUGUCUUUGUAGUUCUAUUUCCUGGCACAGUGCCUGGCUCACUGAAGGUGUCUGAGUAACUCCCACUUCCACUGAAUGAGUAAAGGCAGGUUGAGAAUUCACUGAAGGACUGACUUCAUGCCGGUCAUGUUUCAAAUAUCUGCAUGUUAAAGGCUUACGUGUUUAUGAGUUGACAGGUGUCUCAUGGAACACUGGGACCUUCCAGAUGUUCAUAAGGUUAUCUGGGACAGUGAACAUGUGGUCAACUGAUGUGGGGAUUGGGAAUAUCUCUCUUUUACAGAGCUCUGAUUUUGAUUAACCCUACUUUAGCUGCACAGGCAAGAAAAUACAACCUAGGGAUUCCCAAAUAGUUUGAAUUAUAGACUACAUCUUUAUCAAUAUGUCAUGAAACCCAAGAACACUGCCUCAAGGAGCGUAAGCAGGAAAUACAAGGCCAAACUAAUCAAAUCUGCUUUAACCAAGACAUCUACUUUUAUUUCAUAGUCCUAGGCUUGUUUCAGAAUAUUGUCCCAGAACCAGUAAAGCCUUAGCUCUGAGUAGAAACUAGUUUGGACUGGAACUUUAAGGGAGUUACAACUAUAGCCAACAUGAAUCCAUUUUUUGAUGUGCAAUUAUGCCUAGUUUCAUAGUCGCAUUUCUUCUUCCUCAACCAGUGGUACUCAAUUAGCAGAGUAGAUGGGCCAUGAAGAGCUUAAAAUGACAGUUGGCUUAAGGACAUAGUAUGUAUUUCUAGUAUUUUUUUCCCCAAAAUACCUGGGUCAAUUGUCAAAAUGACCGAUUUCCAAGUCAUCAGCUUGGGCCUGGCAAACCAGACAGUUUGUGAGUGAGGAAUGUUUAUAGGCAACAUUUGUAGCAAGUCCACUGUGGUCUUUAUGUUCCUUAAUGGUGAAAAACCAGGAUCCUGGUUACUGUUUAAAGUAGGGGGACCUUUAAAAAUGAAAAUAUUUAUUAGGACUAUUGUUUCCCAGGCAUGUUGCCAGUUGUUCAUUGACUAGAACCUGAGAAGGAAAACUUCAGAAGAGAGAGGGUUUACUUUGCUUUGUGGUUGUGAGAUUUCCAGUCUAAAACCGAGGUAUUGAAGAUGGCUCUGGAUGUCUGAAUACGUUAUUUAUCAUGGUGGGACUGUGUAGCAAGACAAAAAC
rnacentral:lncRNA from 1 species